CCAUCCACGGUAACCUCCUACUUUUUUAAACGAACCUUUGAAAAAACACACCAGGAUGCAGCAUGUUUGGUUCGUUUGCAAAAAUACUUUCCAUCAUAUGCAUAUUAAACAUGCAUUAACACUAAAUUACCGUAUAAUGAUGUUAAAUAAAAUUUUACAAAAAAAGUAACUAUAUAUGUACAAUAUUAUUAAUAUUAAUGAUCUCGCAUGUGUGUAAAUGAAACAGUGAGAGAAGUGGUGUGUUGGCAAUGAUUAGAACGAAAUAGUUCCAUAGCCAAAAUAUAUAUUUUUUGACUUUCCGCGUGUAUUUAAGAAUUUGUUUGGGUAUUUGUUAAGUUUGAACAUUUUUUUAAAUCUCUGGUGAAAUAAAAACGUUAUGUUAACGGUAAAAAAAUAUUACGUGCCGAAACCGUGGUCGCGCAUUAAUAAUGUUAAUAGUCACUUGUUUGUUUUCUCUUUCAGCCGUUUGUCUGCAGUUACGCCAUAUUGCAGUGUGUUUUAAUAUAUUACUGACCGUGAAAUAACGUACAGUUUGUGUUUCAGGAUUUUGUGUUAAUAUUGUGUAUUUUAACUUUGUUAUAUUAUUUAUUAUCUACUAUUGUAAUGAUGGAAUUUGUUAUCGUUUUGAUAUUUUGUGUGGUUCUUGUGAUUGAUGUAAUGGUAAUUGGUUCCGGGAUGGGGAAAGCUACUUCUUCGCAGCGUCAGAUGGACAUCAUUAACGUCGCUCAGAACUUAUAUGUUUUAAUUAGGAAAGGCGACUUGAAGAAAUGUGACGUUACGCAGACGACCGCGUUUCUUCUCAACAUCGCAAAGUCAACUGUUCUCAAGUACUACAAGAAAGACAUUGAAGAAGUUUCAACACCAGGAAAAAAGAGGGAAAAAAGUCCACAGGAAGGAAAGUCACUUGACACAGUCGACGAUUUCACAGUAAAUGCAAUCAGGAAUGCAAUUUACAGGAUGUACGCUGAAGGUUUGAAUGUUACAGUCGACACCAUUUUGAAAGAAAUCAGGGAAAGACAAAUAGAUUAUUAUGGUGGAAGAUCAAGUCUUCAUAAAUUGUUAAAGAAGAUGGGAUUUUCAUGGACAACUGUUGAUGGACGAAAAGCUUUGAUAGAGAAUGAAAACAUAGUAUUGCAGCGAAUAGAUUUCUUGAGAAAGUAUAAAGAAGAAAAAGAAAGAGGUGCCAAUUUCAUAUUUGUUGAUGAAACAUGGAUUUUCCAGAGAGGCAAGGCAUUAAUUUAUUUGAAAAUUUGUUCUGUGGUCCAAUACAAAGUAUUUCAUUUCCAUUUCAUAUAUUUUUCAGGAACUGUAUCAAAGUCAUGGCAGGACAAGAGUCUACAAUCUGCGAAGAGACGUACUGUUGGAGAUGGUAAAAGGUUUAUUGUUGUUAAUGCUGGAGGGCGCACUGGCUUUGUGCCAGGAGCAGGAUUACUUUUUGUUUCAGGUCAGAAGACUGCAGACUACCAUGGCGAGAUGAAUGGGGAAACUUUCUUGAUGUGGUUUGAAGACAUGUUGGUGCAUCUUGAGGAACCCAGUGUCAUCAUAAUGGACAAUGCUUCAUAUCACAGCACCCAGGUUGAGAAAACACCUACAACGAACUGGACCAAGGAUGCACUGAUCGCGUGGCUGGAGAAGAAUGAGAUAAAACAUGAAAAUAAUUUGUUGAAAGUGGAGCUGCUGAGAAUAGCUAAACAAAACAAGCCCCGAAUACGGUAUAUUAUUUCGUUUUUUUUACAGCAUUUCUUUAAAAGUGAGAUAGUUGCAAAAAAUUACGUAUACGCCUUGUUCUAACACACUUUUCAGAUAUGAGGUAGACGAGUUGGCUCGUAACUAUGGCCACGAAAUUCUACGACUCCCACCCUAUCACUGCCACUAUAAUGCAAUCGAACUAGUUUGGGCUCAAUGUAAACACCAUUACAAUAGUAACGUGGGGCGGGCCAAGAGAUUUGACAAUGAUGCAGUUGCAGCCAUCUGGAAAGAGGCUCUUGAUGCUUCCACACCAGAGAGAUGGGCGAGGUGUGUGGAUCACGUGGAGAAGCUAAUUCAAGCAGACUGGGAGAGAGAAGUCCACAUAGACAGCGGCACCAUUCCUCCACUCAUCAUCCACCUCGGCAAGGAUAGUUCAAGUGAAGACAGUGACAGCGAAGAAUUUGAGGUUACGACACAGCAAGUAGAUGGAGACAGUGAAGUACUGGCAGUUCCUCUUGAUGAUUUACCCGGGUGUUCUUAUUGAGGUCUGUAUGUAAUAAACACCUGGGCAACUGUAAGUAUUGGGGUUUGAAACAUUUUUUUUUCUUUUAUGCAUUCCCAUUAAGUAUGUUGAUUACUGGAACUUUAUGUAUUAACUUUAUAUUACACAUAUUAUGAUAAAUUUAUAAUAAAUUUCAUUUCUGGAUUCGUAUAGGUGUAUGUGAAACAUUUUAUUUUGUUGUGUCUCUUCAUUUUUCAGUGAACUUACUUGGAAAACAAAAAGCCAGUCCCCAUCCAGGGCCACAAAUAAAUAAUGCAUAUAAGUGGUAUAGAAAUUACUGUCAAUUCUUUACCACAAUUUUACUGUUCAUAAAAUUAUGAUUUUGUCUAAUAAGUAUACUCAGGAAAAUGUAUAUAACCAUAUUUUUAUUUGUGGCCUUAACCGGCAAAAUGGUAGGGGUUUAUUAAAUAAAAGAAGAAAAUUAAUUUUUAAAUGUUUUCAUCUGAAUUUGUUAAUUUUAUUAAACCUUCAAUCCUUAGUCUUUUCCAGAUUGCUUAGAUGGACAGCCAUAUGUAUAAUUUACAAUACUUUUUUUUCAGAUGCAGAAAACUGUGUUAAACUGUACUAAAGGAUGAUAUUUAUUGCUUACAUAAAUGUUGUGAAUUUAUAUGUUCUCCUAAAAAUUUACUUUAAAUUAUAUGUUAUUUCUUUAGCUAACAAACUUAUUUUUUAAUAUUUUUACCAUUGGGUAUCAUAAAUGUUAUGAACAUAUACAUGUAUACUUAGAUCAUAUUCAAAUUACUUUAUAUAUAUAUACAUACAUACAUACAUACACACACACACACACACACACAUUGUUUUGACAGCUGGUGAUUGUAAACAAACCAUUUGACAUUUGUCACAUGGCAAUGUUUUUGUUUACAUACGGCGGAAGGAUACAUAGUGACAUUAAAGUAGAUCCGGUGAAAAGCAGGGCUUCAGAAAAGUAGGAGGUUACCGUGGAUGGACUAUACGCGUGUAGGCCUACGCUUGCAAAACAGAAUUUUUAUUACAACAGAAGAAUACACGACAGUAAUCUUGAAAGUCUGGACAAUUUAUUCUUCUCCUGCGUGUACCAUCAUAGCUGCGAUAGUCAUUUGUGAAACUUAUCAUGGGAUAGUUAGUUUGAAAGAGAUAUUUUUACUUGUGCUAUAUAAUAUACUCCAGUGAUAUUGUGUGCUUGUGCAGGCUAAGUUUUGGAGCGAAUUACUGGUCAAGCUCUGUCACUGCGCACAGACGUGUGUUCGCUGCAAAAAGUGACAGCAACAGCUCUUCCGGAGAGCGAAUCUCCAAGAGGCGGGAGCGCGGAAGCCCAGGAAGAAGUGGGUCGCGGGAGCAGAUAGCACAUGCGGGGACAGCUCAGCGACACAGUGACCCAAUUACAAAGGCAUCGCGAGCCGCGAGGGUCGGCGAGGAAGACGGGCUAAGCCCCUGGUCCUCGGUCGCGAUCCGGCCCCGCGGCGAGGCCUUGCGCGCUAUCUGCGGCGUGACGCGCUGCGUGAUAGUGCUUCCUCCUCCUGGCGCCGCGCCCCUUCAGCCCGCCU